rnacentral:lncRNA from 1 species
GGACUGUGGAGCAUCCUCAGUGAGGUGUCUUGUAUUACCUGAAAGAGUCUCAGCCCCUGGCUGUGUGUGUGCACAUGUGCAGCUGUGAGGCUUGUGCUCCUAGCUCAGGUCCUCAUCUCCACUAUCUGGCCCCAGGGAGAAACCGUGUAUGUUGGCAGCAGGGCACUUUGCUGCUCUAGGGCCAAAUGGUGAAAAAGGUCAAAUUUGUGAUGCUUCACCUCCCGCCCUCCCUUCCCCUUUGCUGUAUCCUGUCCUGAGGCUCCUCUCCGGCUCCCAGCCAAUGGUGAAUGAAUGAAUGGAUGACGGCACCUCAACCAAGGACUGAGCUGUGGAAACUCAGGGCUGGAAGGCUCUCUGGAAAAUCACCUGGGCCUUUUGCAUAGGUAAGAAAACUGAGGCCAAGAAAAAUGAAGUGGCAUGACUCAGGUCAGGUUGUGACAAAACCAGCACUGGAGCCAAGGUGUUCAGGGAGAAGGAGCUUGUGAUAGAGGAUCUGACAGCGGCUGGUCCUAGCCCUGCCUGGCAGGAGGUGCAUGGCUUUGGGUAGGUUAGUCACGGCAGCUUGCUCAUUUAAAGAACUGUUUUCCUCAGGUUUGUCUAGCCAAAGAGCUGUUGCAAGGAUCUCAUUAAGUCAUAAGUGUGAGAGAGGGCUUCAGAAACUGCAAAGCCUUCUGUUAAUGUAAGCACAGUCAGUGUUCCACCAAAUGCAGGACCGUGGGUGUGACCGGCUUCAAUAUACAGACAGUAAAAGCUUGUGUUGUCUGUAAAGAAUUUUAAGACAAUUAUAAAAUCAGCUAAAAGUUUGGUUCCUUUCUGUCAUCACUGUUCUGCAGUCAAAUAAUGUCAGCAAUAAAAUACUGUUCCCUGGGAAAUUCUUGUCAUGG